rnacentral:rRNA from 1 species
CGAAUCUUCCGCAAUGCGCGAAAGCGUGACGGAGCAAUGCCGCGUGCAGGAUGAAGCCCUUCGGGGUGUAAACUGCUGUCAGGGUUCAGCAACACAAUGAGCAGACCCAAAGGAAGGGCCGGCUCACUUCGUGCCAGCAGCCGCGGUAAUACGAAGGGCCCGAGCGUUGCGCGGAAUCACUGGGCUUAAAGCGUACGUCGGCGGACAUUCAGGCACCUUGUGAAAUCCCUCGGCUCAACCGAGGAAUCGCUUGGUGAACCGUUUGUCUUGAGGCAAGUAGGGGCUGUCGGAACGAUAGGUGGAGCGGUGAAAUGCGUUGAUAUCUAUCGGAACGCCGAAGGUGAAGACAGGCAGCUGGGCUUGUUCUGACGCUCAGGUACGAAAGCGUGGGGAGCGAAC